CUGACUCGUUUUAAAAUGAGAACCCUGUAAAAGGGGUCUUAAAAAAGCACUUGGUGGCUACAUACAUCAUAGUAUGGUAAAAGACGGACGCUA